GGAUAUUUAUUAACUUUAAAAAGUAAACAUAUGACAAAUGAAUAAAAAUAGACUAAAAAAACAAAUAGAAUACUCUAGAACUAAAAACGGAAAACGCCUAAAAACUUUGAUAUCCCCGUCAGUUGUAAAUGGCCUGUCCCCCACCUUCCCUUUUCCAAAAUGCCGAUUCAGUUUCAACGGGGGUAAGGCCUGAGAGAAAAUGAGAACGUUUCUGAUGAAGGGGCUCUCAACACCCUCAUUCUCUGCGAUCCCGCGGUUCGUGUCAGUCUGGCUCUCAUGGUCGGUCCAGUUCUGAUUGGUGUGUGGCAUACCUGGGAACCGCACCAAGCAGGUAAAUCUCUUCCUUCUUUCUGAGACUUGUUGUGGCAAUGAUAUGGGCUAACUUAUUAGCCAAUCUCAGAGCAAAGAGAAAAGUAAUAGUCUCAAAACUGUCUUUUUCGCUUUGUAUGUUAUAAAUUGUAAUAUAUAUUUAUUGUUAAAAUAUUAAUAUAAAUAUUUUUGAUAAUAUAUUAAGAAUGUUAUUUAAAAUUUAAAAUUAUUAUUGUUAAUAAUUAUUAUUAAAAUAAAUUUGUAAUAUUAAAUAAUUUAUUAAAAUAAGAAAUUAUAUUAAUAAUUUAUUAUAUUAUUAAAUAUAAAUACUUAAAUAUGUAUGUUUAAUAAUAUUAAACAUUAUCAUAUUUGACAUUAAUAUUUUUAAAUAUUUUUUAAAAAUUUAAAAUUUAUUAUAAUAGUCCUAAUUUAAGAUAAUUUUUUUAUCAAAAAAUUACUGAUAAAUGAGUUGAUUUUUGGAAAAUAACUUACACUUUUAAAAUGAUAAGUCAAUUUACAUUAAAAAAAUUAUUGACCAAAUUAUUUUUCAUGAAAAAAAAACAAAAAAAGUUGUAUAAAUUAUUUUUCGUAAAUCAAAGAGGAAAAUUUCUACAUACUUCCGACCAUCUACUGGUUGAACUUCUAAAUGUUUAUUCCCAGGAAAAAAUAACUAAACUACAUGCUUGUUAUUUAAACCGAUUAACAUUUGUAUAUAUUUCCUAUUGCAUUUGCUUCAUGUUACCAACCACACACCGACAAGAUGAGCAUGAGUAAGGAGUAAGGAAGAAGAAUUCCCAGCCACAAUACGGCCCCUGAGCUCUCUUUCUUGACAUCUAUAUUUUCUACCUUCAAAUACUUUUUCUUUAGUAUUGAGAAGGACUGAAUUAUCAUUUCAAGAAAAAUAUUUUACAUUCAAUAAACAUAAGUUUUACAGAAAUUAGAAAAUAAUAAUACAUUAAUAGUAUUAUAUUAUUAUGUUUAAAGACAAUAGUAGGCUACCACCUUUCUACCCUAUAUGUAUCCCGCAUGACUUAUUUCUAUGUCUCUCUAAUAAACUUGUCACUUUUUCAAGCAAAUUUUCUUUUAUCUAUUUUUGUUUGAUUCUUCGUGAUUAAGCUAAACUUGAUCUUCUCAGUGACCCACCAAUUCUCCCCCGGGAAAAAGAUUGAAUAAAAAAUUGACCCCCACUACCUUUAAACUAAGGAUAAUUUUAAAAAUAUAUAUAUGCAUUUGCUUUGAAUUAUAAAGCUUUCGCUCGGGGAGAAUUUGGCAUGUUAGCCCUCAUAGUUUAAAUUUUAAUUUUUAUUAAUCCAAUCAUGCUUUAUGGUAGUUAAUGAUAUAUGUAGGAAUAGACUGAAAUUAAUUAAAUUCAAUUCACUAAAGUUGUUAAUUUUCAAGCCUAGACAAUUAGUUGAUUUGCGACCAUUUUUGAAUGGGAUUUAGAUAUUUUUAACUGGAGAUGUUCAAGCAUUUUUGUUUUCAUUAUUGAUCUUAAGUCUCACUUUUUCUUUGUUAUUUUUAG
rnacentral:lncRNA from 1 species